rnacentral:lncRNA from 1 species
UUGGAUUAAUAUACAGCAAUAACAACAACAAUGACAAUCCAUUAUUCCCACAAAGUGGGGUCUGGGGAGGGUAAUUUGUACUUUAUACACAGACUUUACUCCUACCCGAUAGACAGAGAAGUUAUUUCUGAUAUACCCAGGAAGAUGAAAAAAUAUAUGGCAUUACAUCAUUGAAAAUAAUGAAGGGUCCCAACUAUUAAUGACUAUACACAUAGAAAUAUUAGAAUAGAACUACCCACAAUAGAAUAGAAUUGGAUGUCAUUUUGUAAUCACAGUAAAAGUACAGAUACAUUGACUUUUGAAGCAAAUUGGAGUGACCUUAUCUUUCUGCAGUAGAAAAGAGUUGCUUCAAUACAAUCUUUCAAGAGUCACCAUAAGCAGUUUAUAAGCAACUUCAUAUUGCUUUUAUCCUCCUAAUUUGAGUUUGAGUUACUCUUCAAAGAACCACUAAAUAAAUACUACGUCGAGAACACAGUUGAUAGCCUUGCCAAAUUAUAUAAAAAGAUCGAAUAAUAAAGAUCUAAAUUCACGGAAUAGGUGAACUUGCAAUAAUAGUUGUAACAGUAGCUUGUAUUAAUAUAACCUGACAAAAUUAGAACUAAACAUGAAAUUCCGAUGGGGAGCAUUCUAGAUUAGUUGUGGAUUAACAUGAAUAAGGAAAUUAAUAGAGAUCAGUAUGAUGUGAUUAUAGAUUGACUUAAAGGGGUUUUACAGACUGCUCGAGGUGAUGGGCUUGGUAUUUCGACAUGAAUAUGGUAAAUAGUAAUCUAUCGCAAUUUGUGUUUUUAUAACCUGCAUAGUUCAUAUAAAAAAAGUAAAAGUACAACCUAAUAUAAUCCCACAUAGUAGGGUCUGGGGAGGGUAGCAUGUACGCAGACCUUACCCCUACCCUGGGGUAGAGAGGCUGUUUCUGGGGUCUGGGGAGGAUAGUAUGUACGCAGACCUUACCCCUACCCUGGGGUAGAAAGGCCGUUUCCAAAUAGACCCCCGGCAUCCUUCCCUUCAAGAACUUCCCACCUUUGCUCUUGGGGAGACUCGAACUCACAACCUCUCGGUUGGAAGUGGAGGUUGCAUACCAUCAAAGCAAGCCCCUCUUGUCAAUAGCCAAAUCAGUGGGGUUGCUUACCAUCAGAGCAAGCCCCUUCAUACAAUAUUUUGAAAAUAAAAUAUGUUACCGAAUGUUUGAAAUUGCAUGUGGGACAAGUCCUUUACUUGAUAUGGUACUAAAUAGUUUACUUGAGAUGUUUACAGUUAUUUAAAAUGUUCUCACUGUUACUAGACAUGUUUUACUAUUACUAGAGAUAUGAUUACCAUUACCGAAAUUGAAUUACAUGAUUUGAUAAAAAAAAUUAAAAUGCCCUGUAUUGUUUUGAAAAUACUUCCAUGUGAAGAUUUACUAUUUACGAAGAAAAAUAUAAAAGGGAUGAAACCUUAAAGGAUCAUGUAGUUAACGGCGGGUUCGUUAGACCUAAUGUACCUUGUAUUUACCGAUUAUCGAGUAAAGUUAUAGCCCUCGCUAGUGGGAAGGUAGAACUAGCACACAAUUGUUGUUUUCUCUCUGAGUAGGGACCUAUAGUUAUAUUUGACUCCUUUUACGAAGGGGUCCACAUAGUGAUACAUAUUACAUGAUUCUUUUUUGGAAUCCUUCCAAAUAUAAAAUGACACAAUACUUACUGAGUUUAUUACUGAAUUAUUAAAUUGAUUGUGCUAUAAGAAACACAUGAUGAGACUGAUUAUUAUUACCGUUUUAAAAAGGGCAUUUGAUUUUGUGGUUAUUAUACAAGCAUGUUUUCUGACUUGUCUCUUAUUAAAAACGGUUGUUGUUAAGUAUUACACUCACUGAGCUAGCGACUCAUUUUCCGCUAUUACUUUUACAUAGACAAUAAUAGACGCAUACGAGGAUUCUGUUAAUUAGAGUGUACGAGUUGGCAUUUUCGGGUAAGCCCCACAUUUAUUCGCGAGGCAAAGAUCAUUAUUUAAUUGUUAUAGUCUCUUUCUUCAAACUCUUAGAGUUUCUCCAUAGUCAUUUUUAUGAGUGUCAUAAUUAUUCUUUUAUCGGUAUAGACUUCUGACUCGUAUUAUACUUUUGUAUCGUAUACUUAGAGAUGAAGUUAGUAUUAUUGUGUUGGAAAUACUUUGUGGAUGAGCAUUAUAACUUGUUUGGUCGAUAUAGGUUGGUUGUAUUGUUGAUUUCUGAUACAGGUAAAUUUUUGGAUAGUCCUAAAAUAGGGGGAAACUCUGUUUGAUUUUCUGUAAAUUACUGAUGAGGCUUACUUGGGAGACGCUCCUAAGCACCAGUCAUGGUCCUAAAUUGGGUCGUGACAAAGUUGGUAUUAGAGCCAGGUUAUUCUUGUGACUAAUGGAGCACAUGUCAGUAGUAGAAUCUCAAUUAUGGUUAUGUAGCCGGCUAUUCCCAUAAUCGUGAUUCUGCGAGGGCGUGAUAGGAUAUAUCUUGUCCUUCUUUCUUAUUCCACCAUACGUGUGUGGUGAUUAGGGUUAGAUAGCUGAAUCUAUUAUUAAUUAUCCUAUUCAUGUAUGACUCAGACCAAUUACCCUAUAAUAGAAUUUGGCUAGAGGAUCAAACUUCAAAUAUAUCAAAUUUCGCCAAUGUACAUGUAGCCAUCUCCUACUAAAGAAAUGUUAUGUAAAUAGUAUAUAAGACCAGUGAAAUGUUCAUUGUGCCAUAUGAGGUGAUUUUUUGUAAGAUGCGUAAUAGAGUCUAUUUGGGAAAUUUAUACUAGUCCACCACUAUAAUGAUAAUGGAGUGCUAUCAUAAAAUGUACUUACCUCCAUGAAAAAAAGAGAGAUCUCUAUGGAUAUAAUAGAUAAAUAUGAGAAGAAUGAGCAAUAGAAAAGAGUCUCUAAAGUCAUCAUGCACCUAGAAGAUUAUGGAGAACAACAAAAUAUCUUAAUAAAGUUUCUAAAGUUGAAACUGCUAAGUUUACUAUUUCUGAUAGUUCAAAGGAUCCUUAAAGGUUUUAGUAGAACACUUACCGUGUUAUGAGCUAUAAAAUAUUUCAUGAAGAGUUCUACGGAACAUGCAACUUUAAGACUAGAGAACAUGACAAAUACAUGAAAUGCUACUAUACUCUUAGAGAUGCCAACAAGAGCAACACAACUAGUUAAAGACUAGUUUCACUAAAGUGUUUAUGUAUCACUUCCUUUUUGACAGUUUAUAACGUAAACUUUCCAGCUAGUUCAUUUAAGAAACUAAUUUAGACGUUGGUUAUACUUACAUAUAGCACCCAACUUUCUCAACUUGAUGUCACACCUCCCUUUUCACAAUACGCCCCCGCAAAAAGGCGUAAAGAAGUUUUUUCACUUAAAGGACAACCGGAACGGGAUUUGGUUAUUAAUUAUUCAAAGUCGCCACUUGGGAUAUUAAUGGUGUCCCAAGUCACCGGUUGAAUCGAACCGAGAAAAAAUAUGACUCUGUUAUAAUCUGCGAACUAGAAAUCCAAGUAAAAAAUUAUGUUAACCCGGGAGAAGGUGUUAGGCAUUCCUAGGUUCCAUGGUUCUAGCACUAUCGCUUAACUAUUGCAUUUUAUUUUAUCCGAUUUCAGUACAUGGUAACUUAUGUGCCUUUUAUUUAUAUGCCUAUUUUACCAUUAUUUAGUUUAAAAGACUUGCGACGUCGUGAAAACACGUCUCUGACCACAUCGCCAUCAAGGCACCCGUGGUCGUCGACACAUUUCGACUUCGUCGAGAUUUGGGUUUGGGUCGCAUCAAUGCGCAUCUGAGUUUAAGAAAGUAAUUUAAUUAAAUUGCGCUUAAAGGUUCUAGCGUAAUAUUGUUUCAGGAAAAGCCGUUGAAAUUCGCUAAACAACCUUUCCAAAUUCUAAUUAUUUUUAAUAACCAAUUACCGAGGGGCCCACAUUUACUUUUGUUCGGUGAGUCUCGUCUCCAUUUUGAACCAAUUUUCGGUCAUUAUUUGUUUUAUAAGAAUUGCGGCAUCAUGAAAACGCGUUCCUAACCCCGUCGCCAUCAAGGCACCCGUAAUUAUCAACACAUUUCGACUUCGUCGAGAUUUGAAUUUGGGUUGCAUCAAUGCGCACCCGAGUUUAAGAAAGUACUUUAAUUAAAACACGUCUAAAGCUUUUAGCGUAUUAUUACUUUGGGAAACGCCGUGUAAUUUGCUAAACGGCCCUUUCGAAUUCUAAGUAAUUUUACGUAUCUACUACUAAGGGCCCCGCAGUUAUCGGGCGAGGCUCGUCUCAUCAUUAGCCUGAAGGAUGUCCUAAUAGUCUUAAAAUUCUAUUGACGGUGAUUUAUACUCUUCGAAUUAACCUCAAUAUAAUUUAGCAAGGCAACCCAAUACAAGCGAUUACUAGCUUCUUGCAAAUAAGGCAUGUGAGAGAAGGCCCAAGCCACACAUAGACCCACAUAUCAAUCUGGUGACAAAGUAUCAGAAUAAAUAUGAUCUUCAGCCAAUUAGUAAAACUUAAACAAAUGAACAAUUAUGAUCCAAAACUAAAACUAUUUUGAUUGGCAUACUAUAUUAAUCAGAAAACAUACUAAAAAAACUUUGCUUCUUGCAAAUCAAGCCCGUGAGAGAAGGCCCAAGCCACGCAUAGACCCACAUAUCAAUCUGGUGACAAAGUAUUAUAAUAAAUAUGAUCUUCAGACAAUUACUAAAACUUAAACUAAUGAACAGUUAUGAUCCAAAACUAAAACUAUUUUGAUUGGCAUACUAUAUUAAUCGGAAUCGAUCAUACUAAAACAACUUAAACAAACAACAUUCUAAAGCCAAUAAUUAACAACUACAACUAAUUAAACUAAUUUGAUUGCACAUCUAGGUCUCAAAUGCUCAUGAAAUUUGCAACCAAGAAGAGCGAAGUGUGCUUAUUUAAAUUAAUUAUAUCAAUGAGAGUUCUAGAUUAGCCUUACGCCCAGACUACCAUUUUUACCUACUUUCCUACUGGUGAGUUCCCAACUCAGCAUGAAUAAGUGUAGGUAUCCUGGCUUGCUAUUAACAUGCAUAUUCGAAUUAAUACAAAAUGGCAGUUUCUGAAACAUGCUCAUAUGCUGGCUUUACUGCAACCUAGUUCUAUUUUUUUAUGCACGACAUUCAGCUAUUAGGAAAAUGAACUACAAUCAUCUCCAAACGUCACAACAAUAUAGAAAUAUACAAUCCAGGAUAUUUACAGAUACAAAUCGAAUUUAAACUAAGUUGAACAUUUACACCUAGCAUCUAUUUAACUACCAGCACACAGCUGUCCAAGCAGCCUAUUUUAGGAUUAUAUAGAUGAGCAAUUUUAUUCCAUUUCAAGCUCAAGGUCAAAGUAGAUUGGAUUCAAAUGUGUACCUGGAAAUGAGAGAGAAAAUAGAAAAGGAAAAGAUCAGCGGCAAUAACAUCUCUCAACAGCAGCCCAGGAAUAAAUCCAUAAGUCCAAAAAAUACUUUAAAACCUAACAGGAUCAACAAAUCAACCAAAUAACACCAAAUAACCAGCAAUAAAACAGUAGACCAGCCCACUCAGUGAAUAACACCCCAGCUGACUCGAAUAAACCAAUACCAGCAACUCCAAGCACUUAAGCUUGCAAAUAUUGAGCAGAAACAAAAGAACUCAAGCCAUUUUGGUUUCUAUAUGAGAUAGAAAGUUGAAUUUAAACUGGAAUUCGAAAAUAACCUGAAGAAAGGCAAUGAAACAAUGUUUGUUUUUGGAUUUUCUAUUGUAUUUUCUUUCUUUUUUUUUCUUUCUUUUUUUUUAAUUUGAAAGCUGAUUCAGAUCUAAAAAAUUGAAUUGAAAGAGGUCUUGGGAGCUAAAAACAGGCUGAAGAAGAAGACCCCUUUCUUAGAGUGUUAUUCAAUGCUUUUAUAUGCAAAAAUGAGGGCAACCCUCAAAAUUUAAUUUGCACUAUCAACCCCUACUUAUUUUCAUCUUUAAUCCUUUAUUUUCUAACUUCUUCCUCAAGUUACUGCCCUAAGUUUACUGAAAUCUACACUAAAGUCCUAUUCUAGAAGGCCCUAGGAUGCUCUUCUACCCACAAAAUACCUAUAUUACC